rnacentral:lncRNA from 10 species
CAGCAUUGAGGCACCUCUGUGUUUUGGAGUCAGCAUGCACCGCGCUAGAGGAUACCUCUCUGACCCCUUUAUUGGAGGAGUUGGUGAACAGCAGGAUGGAUGGGAUGUCAGUCAGCUGUGCCCCUGGCUACCCCUGUGCUUGAACAGUGGACUGUGAGUGGCGGCGUCAUGCAGAAGGAGCACAGGGUCCCAGGCCAGCAUCACUAUCCAGGAGCUUCAGGCAUGCUCCGUGUACCAACAUGGGAUCACGAAUCACAUCGCCUCAGGCCAAGAAAGCCAUUUUAUAGCGAAAGAGCCUUAGGAUCUGCUGGAUUAGAGCCUGUUUCCCAGGUAGGAACGCUUCCACGAGGGCACUCCUGCUGGUUGCAGGAAGGAUACCUCUGCUGAGCCUGAAUCUGCAAAGACCACCAGGUUACUCUCAGCUCCUCAUACUGGUGGACCAGCAGGCCACAAAGGAGGGGAUACUUGAUCCUGAUAAACGAGUCUCACUCUGUUGCCCAGGCUGGAGUCCAGUGACACUAUCACAGCUUACUGCAGCCUUGACCUCCUGGGCUCAAGCGAUCCUUCAGCCUCCUGAGUAGCUGGGACUACAGGUUAUGCUUGUUUGCUGAUGGAAAUGAUCCAGAAGAGAAGGACAAGUUGACGAUUGAGAGGGUUAAUGUCAGCCACCGUCUCGAGCUCAGCUUCAACCAUGGCCCUCCCCACAGGGCUCCAUCCCAAGCCAGAGCGGGUCAGUUCCCUACACAGGGCCCAGCAACACGGUGCCCAAGAAAAAGUGUUUCCAGUGGGACGCAUGUCGCCUCCGUGGGUGCUAACUUCUCCCAGUGCCCGUCGCCCUGCUCGGCGACCCUCGUGCAGACGUCCCCGUGCAGCCCCGGUCAGCACCCCGUGGGGACAGCUCCGAUCAGCACCCGACGGCGGACAGCUCCUCCCGCGCCUCCCGCCUCGCCCGCCAC